rnacentral:lncRNA from 1 species
GGUAAUGGAUAGCCUUGUGUCACUCCCCACCUCACACUGUCACUCACCUCUUUUCACCUCAAAGCCCCACUCUUCCUCCGCCACCGCCACCACCACCACCACCACCACCACCACCACCUCCACCUCCGUUUCCUUCUCCCUUUCACCGCCACCUCAACCUCCCGAACCUAAUAUACGCCGCCCCAAGUCCAUCAAUUCCUCCCCCAAACACAAAAUCUCUUCCAAUCCCCUCAAAAACUUCUC